GAUGAACGCUGGCGGCGUGCCUAAUACAUGCAAGUCGAGCGAACAGAUGAGGAGCUUGCUCCUCUGACGUUAGCGGCGGACGGGUGAGUAACACGUGGAUAACCUACCUAUAAGACUGGGAUAACUUCGGGAAACCGGAGCUAAUACCGGAUAAUAUAUUGAACCGCAUGGUUCAAUAGUGAAAGACGGUUUUGCUGUCACUUAUAGAUGGAUCCGCGCCGCAUUAGCUAGUUGGUAAGGUAACGGCUUACCAAGGCAACGAUGCGUAGCCGACCUGAGAGGGUGAUCAGCCACACUGGAACUGAGACACGGUCCAGACUCCUACGGGAGGCAGCAGUAGGGAAUCUUCCGCAAAGGGCGAAAGCCUGACGGAGCAACGCCGCGUGAGUGAUGAAGGUCUUCGGAUCGUAAAACUCUUUUAUUAGGGAAGAACAAAUGUGUAAGUAACUAUGCACGUCUUGACGGUACCUAAUCAGAAAGCCACGGCUAACUACGUG
rnacentral:rRNA from 1 species